rnacentral:rRNA from 1 species
AAUGAACGCUGGCGGCGCGCCUAAUACAUGCAAGUCGAGCGAGAAGACGUAGCAAUACGUUUGUAAAGCGGCGAACGGGUGAGGAAUACAUGGGUAACCUACCCUCGAGUGGGGAAUAACUAGCCGAAAGGUUAGCUAAUACCGCGUACGCUCCUUGGACUUCGGUUCAGGGAGGAAAGCGAUACCGUGGGUAUCGCGCUCUUGGUUGGGCUCAUGUCCUAUCAGCUUGUUGGUGAGGAACGGCUCACCAAGGCUUCGACGGGUAGCUGGUCUGAGAGGACGAUCAGCCACACUGGCACUGCGACACGGGCCAGACUCCUACGGGAGCAGCAGUAAGGAAUAUUGCGCAAUGGGCGAAAGCCUGACGCAGCGACGCCGCGUGGGGGAUGAAAGUCUUCGGAUUGUAAACCCCUUUCGGGAGGGAAGAUGGAACGAGCAAUCGUUCGGACGGUACCUCCAGAAGCAGCCACGGCUAACUUCGUGCCAGCCGCCGC